AGAAUGCCUGAUUAGUAGGAUUAGACAGGCACACUAAGUUCAAUUCAACUCUACACCUCAUUGAGAAGCAUCCAAGUGGAACAUGUGAUGUCUGCAAUCAAAUGGAGACUGUGGAUUCUGUCAUUCCUCUCUGUCCUUAAUAUGCAAAUGAAAGACAGUUAUUAAGGAACAACUGGAACAUGAAGGGAUUAAACACAUGGACCUUGAAACACAAAUAGCUCAGAACUGUUAACAAGGAUAUAAGAACAAUGUAACAUAACAAUUUGUGGCGAUAAUGCUCCAGCCAGUGGCCAUUAAAAAGAAGAUCGAAGAUCGAAACCGAGAGCAACAGAGACACAGACACAUGUUGAACUGGGUAAUUAUUAGCUGGUGUUAGAGUUUUACCGGUGUUUGAACCAGCUGAUGAUAUCUGCGUGCAUGAGGCUGUGGUUGCAAUGGCAAUCACAGGAUGCCAGACGACAUGACUUGGUUCAUGACUUCAUUCUUGUUGUUUACAGACUCAAGUACAUCCAAGUCCUGCCAGGAGGGAAGCAGAUGCUGUGUUUUUCGGUCUGCCGAGACAACAUCUGACAUGGCCCGCCACUACUCCAAAACCCUCUCCAUCAUCUUUUGCCUCGAGCCCCACCUGGUUGGGCAUUCUGUGAUGAGUGAGUGUUCUGAGAGUUUGUGCUCCUGUUGUGCUUAAGGAUCAAGGAACAAGAAGCAAAACACAUUUUUUAGGGGCAGGGGACUUUAAUUAAUUUAAUCAAUUUAAGUGUGUUUCAGUUUCUGCCACAACUGAUACUUUUCCAUGAGUGGAUGAGCUUCCUAGCUACUAUAGCUAACAUUAAUGACAGUGUGUGCUACAGGUUGGAUGCUGCUGACUGAAACUCCACAAAAAAGGAUUAUACAUGUCACGCCCUCCACUUCCAUCUAGCCUGCAGCCUCUCUCUCUCUCUCCUUGUCUGUGUGAGUGUGUGUGUCUGAUUGCAGGAGUGGAGACAGGUGUUGGAGAGUCAGGCAACCAGCUGCCACUCAUCAUGAUUAGCCCUGCCAUAAAUACCCUGUUCAGACUCCACCAUGUCGCCAGAUCAUAGACCCUGUUUAUGCAGUCAGUCACGCAUCUAGUUUCCCCAUUCCCCAUUCC